GGGCCUAUAGCUCAGUUGGUUAGAGCAGCAGACUCAUAAUCUGCGGGUCGAAGGUUCGAGACCUUCUGGGCCCA
rnacentral:tRNA from 3 species